UACGUAGGUGGCAAGCGUUGUCCGGAUUUAUUGGGUUUAAAGGGUGCGUAGGUGGUCAAUUAAGUCAGUGCUGAAAUAUCCCAGCUUAACUGGGAGGGUGGCAUUGACACUGAUUGACUUGAGUGGAGUUGAGGUAGGCGGAAUUGACGGUGUAGCGGUGAAAUGCUUAGAUAUCGUCAAGAACACCGAUAGCGAAGGCAGCUUACCAAGCUCUAACUGACACUGAUGCACGAAAGUGUGGGGAUCAAACAGG
rnacentral:rRNA from 1 species